CUGAAAACACAAAAUCAGUUACAGCCACAACAACAACAACCAAUGAUGCUUCAACAAAACUACAAGCUCGUGCAGAUUGUUCUGCUCUGGACUACAUAAUGUUGGUUAUGCGUGUGGCUGAACUCCUCCUAAUUACUGUGAUUACUGUUCUUCUCAUCAGAGCUCGAGAGACUACCUGACAACAACACAGUGACCUACAGCAGCGUGAAAGCUUCCUCUUCUUCUGCU